GGAGAGGUGGGAGAGAGGUUUAAUCCACCAGUUUGCUAAACUGACGUACGGGAAACUGUACCGGGGGUUCGAAUCCCCCCCUCUCCG
rnacentral:tRNA from 1 species